UCGAACGAAAGUUUUUAACUUUAGUGGCGAACGGGUGCGUAAUACGUGAGAAUCUGCCCUUAGGAGGAGUAUAACUGCUGGAAACGGCUGCUAACACUCCAUAUGUCGAGAGAUGAAAUAAUUUAUUGCCUAAGGAUGAGCUCGCGCCUGAUUAGCUAGUUGGUGAGGUAAUGGCUCACCAAGGCCACGAUCAGUAGCUGGUUUGAGAGAACGAUCAGCCACACUGGGACUGAGACACGGCCCAGACUCCUCCGGGAGGCAGCAGUGAGGAAUUUUCCGCAAUGGGCGAAAGCCUGACGGAGCAAUACCGCGUGAGGGAUGAAGGAUUUUGGUCUGUAAACCUCUUUUCUCAAGAAAGAAGUUCUGACGGUACUUGAGGAAUAAGCAUCGGCUAACUCCGUGCCAGCAGCCGCGGUAAUACGGGGGAUGCAAGCGUUAUCCGGAAUCAUUGGGCGUAAAGCGCCUGUAGGUUGUUUAAUAAGUCUGUUGUUAAAGACUAGGGCUUAACCCUAGAAAAGCAAUGGAAACUACUAAACUAGAGUAUGGCAGGGGUAGAGGGAAUUUCUAGUGUAGCGGUGAAAUGCGUAGAUAUUAGAAAGAACACCGGUGGCGAAAGCGCUCUACUGGACCAUUACUGACACUCAGAGGCGAAAGCUAGGGUAGCAAAAGGG
rnacentral:rRNA from 1 species